UUCUACGGCCAUGUCACCCUGAACAAGCCUGAUGUCUGAUACUGGAAGCUAAGCAGGGUCAGGCCUGGUGGUUAGUACUUGGAUGGGAGACCACCUAAGAAGACCAGGUGCUGUAGGCA
rnacentral:rRNA from 1 species